AAUACGACUGUCGGCAACGGAUAUCUAGGCUCUCGCAUCGAUGAAGAACGUAGCAAAAUGCGAUACUUGGUGUGAAUUGCAGAAUCCCGUGAAUCAUCGAGUUUUUGAACGCAAGUUGCGCCCGAAGCCACUCGGCCGAGGGCACGCCUGCCUGGGCGUCACGC
rnacentral:rRNA from 1 species